UCUGCAUCUGUAUCUCCGCUGGUGCGGCUUUUGCAGUCGGGCUUCCCACGUGAUUUUCCCGAUUUUUCCAAAUUUUUCAAUUUUGCCUGCUUGCCCUAUCGGUCUCUCCUUUUCGGCUUUGCCUUCGCAAAGCCUGGCCCGAUCAAUUCGAAGUAUCUACCAAAUGCACAGGACACACAAGUUUUAGGGGCUGGUUUUCAAGCUAUUUGUGUGGGACAUUCCUGGAAAAUGGUCGGUAAACCUUGAUCGACAAGAUAAUUGUGUGUGCGUGCGUCUAUAGAUAUUUCCCGAAGGAAGCGUCUUCAAGCUGGAGUUCUGGAAAAAACCAGCAUAUGUGCGUCUAUUUAUGACCUAUCUGCUCUUAAGUUUUCUUCAGUCGUUUGCUAAUGCAUUUCAAAUUACCUUUUUUUGAAAAGAGUAUCAGGCAAAGGUUAAGCUAUUUUCUAUAUAUUUCAUAGCUUUUAUUCCAAGAAUCAGUGUAAUUACUUGAUACGGAAUAUUAGACUAAUGUUUGGUAGCCUAAAAGUUUAGUAUUGUGAUGAAAAUUGAAUGUGAAAAAGAGUUAUAGCAUAAAAAGAGUUAAAGCUGCUUUUGUGUAACAAUUUUCCCAGGGUUGUAAAUUUUUGGAAUCCGGAACAAAUUAUAUCAUACAUAUUGCUUAAAACCGAAAGUCCUUUUUUUAGUCAUAUCAGAAAUGUGUCCAAAUAUCACGGGCUUACAUGGGAUAUUGGAUACUUUAAACUAAAAUACAAAGCCACAAGUUUAAACUACAAAAAUGUAUCUAUAAACAGAUGUUGUAGAGGAUACUAAUCUAGAAUCUGGAGCACAUGCAAUCUAACUUCGCCCCCGUUGACCUUGAAAAUCCAACAUGUAAUUUGAACAGAUGCAUUUGGAAUAGGAAAAUAAAUAUGGAAAACACCACCGGAAGCUGUGUUUAUAUGCAUUCUACUGCGCCUGCUGGAAAUGCUUUGGAAAACUCUCUAACUCUCUCUCUCUCUCUGCUCGCUUAGAUAGGCGGAGAGUGGUUUUUCUCUCAGAGAAAGUUUUCGGCAUUGCAGUUUUCCACAAAUAGAAAGAGAGGAAGGGACAACAAUCAGCCCACAACAACAACUGUUGAGCUGUUUAGGUAGAAAACCCGAAAAUAAAUCAAGGAUUCAAAAGUGAAGCCGAUCCCAAAAAGCAGGCAGGCUACACUUGCUGUGCAACAGAUACACACGCGCGCUCUCACACAGAUACACACUCACACACAGAUGCAGACAGAGGAGCAGUUUCAGAUGCAGCUGCGUUUCCGAACCGAGGACUUGAGGACUGAAAAUCCGUGCAACCAAUUCGCGGAUUAACCCAGUGACUAAUUUAAAACAUUUCCACACAUAGCUAACCUAUUUUUUUCUAUUUUUCUAGAUGACUCAGGUAAUGAGUUAUUGUUAAAUGGUUUUGGUUAAAACAAACUCACCCAUCACAUAAAACCACCAACACAUCAGCCACACCAUCAACAUUCAUCAUCAAACAAAAAUCAAUGUGUUCAUUUGCCGGC